rnacentral:rRNA from 1 species
GACGAACGCUGGCGGCGUGCUUAACACAUGCAAGUCGAACGGAAAGGCCCGGCGUUUGGUGGGUGCUCGAUGGGCGAACGGGUGGGAAACACGUGAGUAACCUGCACUUGACUUUGGGAUAACUUCUGGAAACUGGGGCUAAUACUGGAUAGGAGCUCCUGCUGCAUGGUGGGGGGUGGAAAGUGUCGGCGGUUGGGGAUGGGAUGGCGGCUCAUCAGCUUGUUUGUGGGGUAGUGGCUUACCAAGGCUUUGACGGGUAGCCGGGCUGAGAGGGUGACCGGCCACAGUGGGCCGGGGAUACGGCACAGACUCCUACGGGAGGCAGGAGAGGGGAAGAUUGUACAAUGGGCGGAAGCCUGAUGCAGCAACGCCGCGUGCGGGAUGACGGCCUUCGGGUUGUAAACCGAUUUCGCCUGUGACGAGGCGUGAGUGACGGUAAUGGGUAAAGAAGCACCGGCUAACUACGUG